UGGUGAGGAGCCCCUGCAGUGGCCAGGAGAGCGGGGGUGACGGAGAAGCCAUCGGCGUGGGGCUGUGAUGGAGGCAGAGCCGCGGGACCUGCUGAGGACUCCGGGACAGCGUCUGGCUUUUUGACUGAGGGUGGCAAGGCCACCCACGAGAAGAGAACUCUGGUGGAGGCCAGGCUGCCAGGCCAGAAAGGCAGCUGGAGUAGAGGACCCAGAUGGACUGAACAAGGCGAGGGGGCCGGGCCGCAGCUGCUUUCCUGCGGGCAGGAGGGGGCCAUCCUGGAACGGCUGAG